GACGAACGCUGGCGGCGUGCUUAACACAUGCAAGUCGAGCGGUAAGGCCCUUUCGGGGGUACACGAGCGGCGAACGGGUGAGUAACACGUGGGUGACCUGCCCUCAGCUCUGGGAUAAGCCUGGGAAACCGGGUCUAAUACUGGAUAUGACUCCAUGACGCAUGUUGUGGGGUGGAAAGCCUUGUGCGGCUGAGGAUGGGCCCCGCGGCCUAUCAGCUUGUUGGUGGGGUGANGGCCUACCAAGGCGACGACGGGUAGCCGGCCUGAGAGGGCGACCGGCCACACUGGGACUGAGACACGGCCCAGACUCCUACGGGAGGCAGCAGUGGGGAAUCUUGCGCAAUGGGCGAAAGCCUGACGCAGCGACG
rnacentral:rRNA from 1 species